rnacentral:rRNA from 1 species
CAGGAUUCCCCUAGUAACGGCGAGUGAAGCGGGAAGAGCUCAAGCUUGAAAUCUGAGGCGCUUGCGUCUUCAGAAUUGUAGUUGAGAGAAGUGUUUUCACCGGGACGACGGAUGGCCUAAGUUGCUUGGAACAGCACGUCAUAGAGGGUGAGAAUCCCGUCUGUGGUUGGUCGAUCGCUCGGAAUGAUGCACUUUCGAAGAGUCGGGUUGUUUGGGAAUGCAGCCCAAAAUGGGUGGUAAACUCCAUCUAAAGCUAAAUAUUGCCACGAGACCGAUAGCGAACAAGUACCGUGAGGGAAAGAUGAAAAGCACUUUGAAAAGAGAGUUAAAAGCACGUGAAACCGUUGAAAGGGAAACGCGCUCGGCUAGUAAAGCACGUUUGUGGUUCAGCCGGCCAGUCUUGUCGAGUCGUCGUGUGGCGGAUCCGAAUGGACCGUCCGCGGUGGCCUCGGUGGGCGAGCUGUGGUGCACUCUACGUACGUGCGCGUCAGCGUCGGUUCUCGACGGGCGAUAAGGUGCGUGGGGGAAGGUGGCUUGGUCUUCGGACUGAGUGUUACAGACCCUGGUGCUGGGCUCGUGGUGGGACUGAGGAGAGAGAUGAUCGCUGCGGCACCUGCCUUUCGGGGCUAGCCAGCUGUUGUCAGGUGUGCGUCAGGCGUUGAGGACUGCGCGCAGUGCUCGGUGUUGAGGCGUGAUCUGGUGGCGGUGUGGGCAUAGAGGUGCCUAGGACGCUGGCGUCCAAAUGGCCGUGCGCGACCCGUCUUGAAACACGGACCAAGGAGUCUAACAUGUGCGCGAGUCUUAGGGUGUGCAAGCCCUCGGGCGCAAUGAAAGUGAAGGUUCGGCGCUAGUCGAGCUGAGGUGAGAGCCGUUGCUUGUGGCGGCGGCGCAUCAUCGGCCGGUCCAUCCUGCUCUCAGGGGGAUCCGAGCAAGAGCGUAUUUGUUGGGACCCGAAAGAUGGUGAACUAUGCCUGAAUAGGGUGAAGCCAGAGGAAACUCUGGUGGAGGCUCGUAGCGAUUCUGACGUGCAAAUCGAUCGUCAAAUUUGGGUAUAGGGGCGAAAGACUAAUCGAACCAUCUAGUAGCUGGUUCCCU